UACGGGGGGGGGCAAGCGUUGUUCGGAAUUACUGGGCGUAAAGGGCUCGUAGGCGGCCAACUAAGUCCGACGUGAAAUCCCCAGGCUUAACCUGGGAACUGCGUCGGAUACUGGAUGGCUUGAAUUCGGGAGAGGGAUGCAGAAUUCCAGGUGUAGCGGUGAAAUGCGUAGAUAUCUGGAGGAAUACCGGUGGCGAAGGCGGCAUCCUGGACCGACAUUGACGCUGAGGCGCGAAAGCCAGGGGAGCAAACGGGG
rnacentral:rRNA from 1 species